CGGAGACCAUGACGCCGCCUCCACAGCUGCGCGAGCACUCGGACCAGUUGGACCAGGGACCCCAGUGACCGUCGAUGGCCUCCGGACGCUCGCCCAUCUCGGUGCACUCGCCCAGGGGGUGAACAGCAGCAGAAGGCCUAAGCUGAGCUGAUGCGGCGUUGCGUCAGAGCGACUCACGUAGCAAAAGGGGGAAAAGGCGAGGAUGUAUAGGAGAAGAAGGAUGCCGCUCACCUCGAUGCCGUCGCAGUGCUGGGCAGCGGGUCCGUACUGCAGCCGGCACUGGUGGUCGGCGUCGUACAUGGCACCCGGUGGCAGCAGCGGAAACGUGAACUGGUGCGCCCGCGGCUCAUCGUCCAGGCAGCUGCCCCAGUCUCGGCUGCGCGACGCGCACACACGAGAAGUCAACAUGCACGAUCAGUGAGACUGCGCAUUUCUCCGACGGCCACGCCAAGAAACACGGCGGCAGACCCCGUCACGACGCCAAAGAGGUGGCGACAGUGUCAAGCCGGGCUCGGACACUCACUCGAGAAAGCGCGUGAUCUCUUCUCG